UUAUAUGAUGAUCUCCUAUAUUCACACUGUGUGACUUUCGGUUUAAGUACCGAUUUCAUGAUCACAAAACCAAAAUAACUGAUUUAAUGACUCUGAUA
rnacentral:snoRNA from 1 species